rnacentral:rRNA from 1 species
UAGGUACAGAGGGCAGCUACCCAGCGAUGGGGUGCGAAUCUCGAAAGCCUAUCUCAGUUCGGAUUGGAGGCUGAAACCCGCCUCCAUGAAGUUGGAUUCGCUAGUAAUCGCGCAUCAGCCAUGGCGCGGUGAAUACGUUCCCGGGCCUUGUACACACCGCCCGUCAAGCCAUGGGAGCUGGGGGUGCCCGAAGUUCGUGACCGCAAGGAUCGACCUAGGGCAAAACCGGUGACUGGGGCUAAGUCGUAACAAGGUAUC